rnacentral:rRNA from 1 species
UACGUAGGGGGCAAGCGUUGUCCGGAAUCAUUGGGCGUAAAGCGCGUGUAGGCGGCCCGGUAAGUCCGCUGUGAAAGUCGGGGGCUCAACCCUCGAAUGCCGGUGGAUACUGUCGGGCUAGAGUGCGGGAGAGGCGAGUGGAAUUCCUGGUGUAGCGGUGAAAUGCGCAGAUAUCAGGAGGAACACCAAUUGCGAAGGCGGCCUGCUGGGCAGUUGCUGACACUGAGGCGCGACAGCGUGGGGAGCAAACAGG